rnacentral:rRNA from 1 species
UACGAGUACCCCAAGCGUUAUCCGGAAUCAUUGGGCGUAAAGGGUGUGUAGGCGGUGUGGUUAGUCUUCUGUCAAAACUUCUGGCUCAACCAGGAGAUUGCAGGGGAAACGGCCAGACUUGAGAGUGCGAGGGGUGAAUGGAACUCAUGGAGUAGGGGUGAAAUCCGUUGAUAUCAUGGGGAACACCAAAAGCGAAGGCAAUUCACUGGCGCAUUUCUGACGCUGAAACACGAAAGCGUGGGUAGCGAACGGG